UAAGAUGCCUAUUGGUCUAAGCUUUAUAUCUAUCCUAUCGCUCUCUUGCUUAAAUUCACUUCCUUCCUUAACUCAGAUCUAAAUGGCUUCCUUUGGAUCGACAUGCGUAGAAAGAGGUAAAAGCACGGGCAUGGAAAAGGGAUUAUAUGGCGUGCUGGGCUGGAUGAAAGAAGCAACUACGCCUACAAUGAGAAUAGCGGGACUCCCACUAGCUGACAGAGAACUCCCAGCCAAAAUGAAACUGGACUUCCAGCAAUAGCAGCAAUGUCACUAGAACCUUUCAUACUGGAGAAUAACUAGAAGUUUAUGGGGAAUACAACCCUUAAGGUUUGGCUAUGAUUCUAAAUCAACCAUGCUUACUAAACAACUCAAUCAUGCACUCGUAAUGCUCCAUUCGAGGCGUAAUACCAGAAUCUUCACUCAUCGAGAACAAGUAUCUUUGACCUAGAUUAACAUAUCCUUCACAAAUACAAGCUAGCAAGGCAUCUGGAUAACUUACAAGAUAAGUUUAUGCGUGCCACCUAUCAUUUGAUACUGCCUGAUCAAGUCUUUGGAUCAAGUAUGUUUAGAAAAAGGAAUAUGCACAGGAAAUCAAGCAAGAGGAUGCGGACAGUAACGAUCGCGUAAAGGAGGGCCCGCUUACUAAUACGGAGAGGGUUCCGCAUGAAAAAGACAAUCCUAAACUUCUUCGUUUCGUUGGUUUUUCCAAGGUCUUUUAAAUUAUCUUUUUUUUGAACAUGAACGGAAGUAGCGUAGGACACCCAAUCCUCGGUCAAACCUCUACUUCAAUGAACCACGUCGCGUUCUUUAUCUUUCUCACUCGUCGUUUCGUUGGAAAAACUCACGCCCAAUAUCAUAUUGACUCUCUCUCGUCCAAUAAGAGUUUCUGAGAGUUACUUUAUUCAAAUUCUCUCCUUUCCAAAGCUCCACAAGGCUGACAAAAAGAGUAAUAGGACAACAAGCAAUCUUGCUUUCAUUUAUUUUGAGUUCUUUCUUUGUUGAGAUGGAAAUCGACGUUCUUUUGAAAAGGGCUAGGUAGUUUGCACGCAGGCUUCUUCAUGAAAGGUCAAAAAUAGACUUUGAUUUCAUCAUCAAAAAUGACUAGUCGUUCGUUUGAAGCCUUAAGAAACCAAAGCGGCAAUUUUUUUCCGAAUGACCUGAUUUCGAGAAUCAACUAACCAACAAAUCCGUAGCCCAGGUGAUUCGCUGCCUCCCUCUCGCUAAACCAAAAUGGGAUGAAUCUUCUCAUGCAGCUUUUUUCUUAUUCAGGGCGCUGUGAAGCAUCAAGGCGAGGGGGUAAAUAAAAUAAGGGGCAAGAGGAGUUGUCACGAUAGAAAAGAGAAAUGACUAUAAGGAACCAACGAUUCUCUCUUCUUAAACAACCUAUAUACUCCACACUUAACCAGCAUUUAAUAGAUUAUCCAACCCCGAGCAAUCUUAGUUAUUGGUGGGGGUUCGGUUCGUUAGCUGGUAUUUGUUUAGUCAUUCAGAUAGUGACUGGCGUUUUUUAGCUAUGCAUUACACACCUCAUGUGGAUCUAGCUUUCAACAGCGUAGAACACAUUAUGAGAGAUGUUGAAGGGGGCUGGUUGCUCCGUUAUAUGCAUGCUAAUGGGGCAAGUAUGUUUCUCAUUGUGGUUCACCUUCAUAUUUUUCGUGGUCUAUAUCAUGCGAGUUAUAGCAGUCCUAGGGAAUUUGUUUGGUGUCUCGGAGUUGUCAUAUUCCUAUUAAUGAUUGUGACAGCUUUUAUAGGAUACGUACCACCUUGGGGUUAGAUGAGCUUUUGGGGAGCAACAGUAAUUACAAGCUUAGCUAGCGCCAUACCAGUAGUAGGAGAUACCAUAGUGACUUGGCUUUGGGGUGGUUUCUCUGUGGACAAUGCCACCUUAAAUCGUUUUUUAGUCUCCAUCAUUUACUCCCCCUUAUUUUAGCAGGCGCCAGUCUUCUUCAUCUGGCUGCAUUGCAUCAAUAUGGAUCAAAUAAUCCAUUGGGUGUACAUUCUGAGAUGGAUAAAAUCGCUUCUUACCCUUAUUUUUAUGUAAAGGAUCUUGUAGGUCGAGUAGCUUCUGCUAUCUUUUUUUCCAUUUGGAUUUUUUUGCUCCAAAUGUUUUGGGGCAUCCCGACAAUUAUAUACCUGCUAAUCCGAUGCCCACCCCGCCUCAUAUUGUGCCGGAAUGGUAUUUCCUACCGAUCCAUGCCAUUCUUCGCAGUAUACCUGACAAAGCGGGGGGUGUAGCUGCAAUAGCACCAGUUUUUAUAUCUCUCUUGGCUUUACCUUUUUUAAAGAAAUGUAUGUGCGUAGUUCAAGUUUUCGACCGAUUCACCAAGGAAUAUUUUGGUUGCUUUUGGCGGAUUGCUUACUACUAGGUUGGAUCGGAUGUCAACCUGUGGAGGCACCAUUUGUUACUAUUGGACAAAUUUCUUCUUUCUUUUUCUUCUUGUUCUUUGCCAUAACGCCCAUUGCGGGACGAGUUGGAAGAGGAAUUCCAAAAUAUUACACGGAAUAGACUCAUCGCACCGGAUCAGUCUCUUAGACGGAUGAGACUGAUCACACCUGAUCAGUGAUCAAUUCUGGCACAAUGAAUUUACGAGUUAUUUUACACAAUGAAUUUACAAGCAGAUGAGGUAGACCUAUCUCCUGAAAAGAGUUCAGUAAACAAGGGAACGAAGCGACCGAUAACGUCCCCUCGGGGAGGAGAAGGGAUUGACUUCGACUCCUAUUAUCUUUGUUUACCAAUCUUCAAAUUGGUGAAUUGGUUAAUAGGAAGUGCGCGCUAGCACGCUUCAUAUUUCUAGUAACAAGGGCCGGGCCAUUGCUUGCUUGUUUGGUCGUUAGAUCAGAGGGCGCUCAUCCCUUGCUCGGUCCCUGAAAAUGAGAUAACAUAGGCUUUUGAUAUCUGCUCUGUCAACAAGCCCUGGUUCAAUCCCUGCUUCUUCCAGGCCUUAUCCCGAAAGAGGUAAACAAUUCUUUUUUGUCAUUUUGUUCACUGGUCUUCACUUCAAGCAAUUCUAUUAGUCCUAGUUUGCUGCAAUUAGUAAUAGGGGAUAAGCAAUUGGUGGUCGUAGGCUCACUCACCUCUUGCUCUUUUUCUUUGCGAUGACCCCGUCCUUGUAUCCGUCCUCUAGCAUCUAUCUUCUCCUGUAUUGUAUGUAGCUGCAGUGGCAUUCGACUUUGAAGUACCAGGAAAGGCAGAUAAGUUUAGCCUCAAUAGAAAUAUCUUUAUAGCCUGAAGUUGGCUUACUUAAUUCCUUUGAGCUUCCCCCACUAUUUAGUUCGUUUUCCGGUAAGCUAAUAUGGGCGUAGGUCUAGUUAACGUUCAAGCAGAAUAGAAUCCCCAUCAGACUCUCGUUUGUUGGUUGGGAUGGGAUCUUAGGAGAGAAAGGAAAGCCCUGAAACAAAGUGAGCCUACGCCUACGGGAGGGUGUAAAAAUGCCUCAAAGCCUGUGAAGCAAGUUCUAAAGAAAGUUUGAAAGCUCACUGCGGAAAGGGUUUUGACCAGCUAGUCAGAUUGCCUCAUUACGGGUGUGUUACGCCAGAAAGUUCCUCAAUCCUGUGCCUGUUCCCGAGCGAGUCAGUCCCAUUUCGAUGAUGAACGACACGAUCCUCCAUAAAGCUUCCCAUUUUACAUUUCUCCAUCGCGAGAGAUUCUCUCCAGCAGGUUCCCCAGUGGUACGUCCGGGGUCGGUACAAUCAGUGCGCUAUCAGUCCAGUACCAUUAGCUCUCCAAGGGUAACAAUCCAUUCUUUCCGGGCAAGCCAGUUCAGUUCCUUUCUAGUAACAAGAGAUCCCAUAUCAGAUUAAGUAAAGGGAUUACCUAGCUAGCGCAUAUCGAAGAGUUGGAGACUUCCUGCCACUAUAGAAAAAAGCCGUUGAUGGAUCAAUUUCUGUAGGUGGGUCUCAACUCGGAUCGAGACAUUCGGAUUUGCCGAUGAAGAGUACUGCCUUGGAGGGGUAGGGGUUGUAGGGGAAGAACCAACCUUUUCGGGUUACGGGAAGUCCUAUCGAUUAAAGCAAGAAGAAAAAAGUAAAAAACAACAACGUACCGACCCAGCGCAGUGCCUAUGAAGAAUAGUGAAUGUAGACCGGAUAGGAAUAGGACUCUUUAGGCGGAGUGGCUUUCUUGGAGGCCUGUCUUCUUCGAAACUCGAAAUUCGUUUUUUCAAAAGAAACAGGGCUAUAGCCUUUUUAAGGCCAAUUGACAUUGACUUUUGUUUUGAUAGUUCCAGUUGCUUACGAAGAUCCAAGUCCAGCUACUUACGAAGAAGGGCAGACAGACUACGCCACUCCCAUCCCUGCGGACAGACUAACUAAGCGUGGUAGUCGAGUGAACGGGCUAUCAAAAAGCUCUCGUUUUGUUGCGAGCUCCUGGCAAGAUAGUCAAGUAAUAAAAUAGACCAUAAGCCAUACUUUAUCUUGUAGCCUGUCUAAGAAAGUAACAAUAAAUAGCUCAUAGUUUCCUUGCUACUGCCCUAAGAGUUGUUCUUCUAUCAUCAGCGAGAGUUUACUUUGCUGUCGAUGCAGGCCAUGCAAUAAUAGAUAGAUUUUUGUACAUAGUUGGGAUAAACAAAUAAUAAAUGGAUUCCUCCCCUCUUUUUAGCCUUAUCCGCUCUUGAAUGUUGGUAUCGAUUUGAUCAUGCCGGAAUAAGAGCUAGGUAAUGGAUCUUCUCCAGAUAGAAGUAAAGGUUACGUGGGAAAUAAAGGAAUCAGUAGCAGUCGCUGGAAAAAAAGUAGGUAAAGCAAGCAAGGAGGGAAUCCAGCUUAUUGGCCAUUCUCCAGCGACUCUCAGAAUGGUUGUCGGGCCUUUGCACUGGUCAACAAAGCCACAGGCCAAGCCAUCAAGCAUGGCGUAGGGUAUUGGAUAGGCUGGUCCCCUGGUCGAAGUCAUUGCAAGGUGUGCUACAGACAGCUAUUGUUCAAGGUCAUUUCCUUUCUCUCGUCAUCACGCCAACAUACACAAGGCUUGCCUUCACAGGGCCCCACCUUGACUUGCCAUCAUGGCUACACUCUUUUCAUCAAAGCAACUCUUCUUAUCUUAAGAAGACCCCUAUCGCUUCUUCUUUGAUCAAUAAGCUUUGGACUUUCCGCCUUGAUCGUAGUAGUAUAGUAUGCUGAAGCAGCUCAAGAUAAAAGCCCUGUUUAGCCAUGGUCAGAUUUCGGUAGACUAACUUGGACACGGGAUUAGGAAAUUCCACCCUUUUCCACCGGCUCCAGGACAAGAGGGUACCGACGAGUAUCGGCGACCCUGCACGAGAAUAGAACCAAUACCAAUAGUUUUGCUUAUUUGAAUUCUUCCAUUAUCUAUCAAAAUAGGAAAUCUAAAUAGAUACGCGAAGUGGUGCCCUUGCUUCUGGAUUCAAAUCCAUAGGGGUAGGCAGGAGGGGAGCGAAAAGAUAGAUACGUUAAUGUUUCCACCUACUCUCGAGUAUAGCACAGGGCUGAGUUAAGUAUAGUAUAGGGAUGAUCCACUCGUCGUAAGAUCCUGAUGGGCCAUCACAUCCCUUGAUGAGUAGAUCAUUCGUGUCUUACUGGUCAAAGGUAAGUAAGAACCUCUUGAUAUCGGGAAGUGCAAAUAAAUAAUAGGUCAGUCUUGCUGUCUCAAAUAGGGAUUGAGUGCCUGUGGAGAAGAGAUGGGUUGGUUUGAUUGAGGAAAGAAUAGGAAAAGAAGGAAGAAGGAUAGCAUAUUGACCGUGCUCUGCGAAGUUCGGUGGAAGUCAGCUGGAAUCGUACCCAGCAAGGUUCUAUUAAUUGGUAAACUACUUAGUAGCCGUAGCCAACCCCUGAUUAUAGCAAGCCCUGCUCUUGUAUAUCGAUAAAGAAGGGAGAGUUUACUGAUGGCACAUUUGCGUCCAGCGGAAUCGAUCAUCGUCCCCCCACGACCAAGACCCAAUUCAAUAUAUUAAUAGGAAGAAUGUCUUGAUCCGCCUCGUAUAUCUAUCAUUUGUGUUGAUCUGGAAUCGAGAUUGGAAUGCCUUGCUCUGCCUAAUCGUGAAUAGUAUAUGCCUCAUCCCGCUAGCCAGAUCUCUACCGUCUUAUUGAUCGAAAGCUAGGGAUACUUAUUUAUUUUCUUGAUGAUUGAAAAGCUAGUUUGAAUUCGUUGAUCUGCCGAUACCGGGCCCCAUUUCACUGGCCAGCGAGCUUGUGUAUUACUUUGCAAAUGAAGCGUAUCUCUUUGAUUUACUUCUGUUGAUGUCUCGAACCGCUUAGCGGUUAGUUUUAGUUAAGGAUAGCAAUGCUAUUGUCCAUUCCGUCUAGCCGCUAUUGUCCAAUUAUAGUACAGUGUCAGUUAGGACGGGCCUGCCCCUGCUUGCUUCCUCGAGAGUGAGAGAAGGAAGUCCUAGAGAGGGGCACUAUUUCUUCCGAGAAGUGCAAGAUGGGGAAUAACCUAUUGUAUUGAUAUCGCUGAGUCAAGAUAGAAAGGAACCUUAUUUUCUAUCAGCUAGUGCAAGCUAGGUUGUUUGUUUUGGGCACAAAGCCUUGCUCUCCCCAAUCAAGGUAUAAUAGUUGGGCGGCUAGUGCUGCAAGCAUGCAAUCAGCAUUUCGUUCACUUACACUUACACUUAGUGAAUAUAGAACUGUGAUCAGUGACGCUAAGUCAGAUAGUUAUUGUCUCUUCUCCCUAUUUAUUUUAUUAAAGACCCUAAGGAAGUGAAGGAUUGCGGACCACCUAUUUUCAUCAAAGCCCCUUACCCUUGCUUCUUUCCCUUUAAACUCUUUGGUACACGCUUUAUCGAGACUAGGAUUUCUGUCUUACGCCGGGUGAAACCUAUACUCUUUGACCUACCCAACAAGCAUUUUAGGCGAAUUCUUUUCCUUUCUACUCAAGGAAAUUGAUAGCUAGGAUCCUAUCCUAUCCUAUCUAUUUGAUCGAUCGCUCAGCCUCUGUAGUCCACUCCUUCAAUAUAGGAAAGGAAGUAGAGAAAAGGAUGCAAGCCCAAAGUCUAGGAAAAGCAUCUCAUUUCCUGGCAAAAAAGCAAUCCACUGUGUCGAGGAAGGGAAGAAAGGCUCUGCUUUUGGUAUUUAUUUAUCAAAGAAAGACACAUUUAAGCGAGCGUGGCAAGGGACUAAGUUUUUGUUGUCGCGGGCGCUAAAAAGCAUUGGCGGAUGCUAGCUAGGCAUAUUUAUUUGUUUCGUUUGUUUACAAGUUGGAAUUCCAAAGAUAGCUAUUUUAGAGAAAGACCGGAAUAGGCAGUCACAGAUGUAAGUAGAAGUUUUAGAAGCAGGUAAGGUUUAUGCACGAUGAGAUAUGCUAGCUAGAGCUACUUGGUAUUGGUAGUAGAAGAGGAAUAGCUUGUGCUUUUCGCGGGAUAGCUUCUAAGUAUAGACAUUCACAGUAGGCACGAAUGGGAUAGUUUGAGUUGGUUUCUCGCCAAAUAGAUUCAAGGAUAACUCGAUUUGAUACUAAACUUAGUACGAGAAGGUGCUUAGAACACAUACGGGAUCAGAUAAGGCUAGCAGCUCUAGUAUUGGUAAUAAAUCUUACAAGGGAAUACUAGAUACACCAGUUGUGGUAAGUCAAUUCAUUCAGGAUGCUCGUAAGUCUCGUGAAUCCAAUAAUAAAUAGGGCUUAGUAGAGGCGCGAAGCGUGGAGAUUGAUAAAUAAAAAGGACACACAGUACCAGACCAAGUAACAAGAUCAGCCUUACCAAACUGGAUUUUCCAAAGAAAGAGGGUGAUGAGUGGGUGAUUCAAUGUAACCAUUACUUUUCUCUCUGCCCAGUUCCUGAUACAAACAAGACCCAUAUGGUAGUGUUGCACUUUAGUGGGAAAGCCAGUUCAUGGUAUAGAGGCUAGAAUCUGACCCAUGAUCACCCCUGAUCUAAUUGAACUGGUUCAGAGGGUAUUCCCAGAUGCUAGCAGCCUCACCUCACUGCUGUGAGGAAUGGAAGAGAUUGUACCAAGUCCAUAAUGGUCAAGAUUCCACACAGAAGGGUUAGGUCAAAUCAAGGGCCUUAACUUGGGAUCUCCUGACUUACCUGAGCACUAUUUUAUCACUGCAUGCUUGAGUUGAGGGAAGACAUCAAAGACCUUGUAUGGCAAUGAAGGCAGUAAGCUUGAUGCAUUUUAUCCAAAGACAUGGAGGUGGCAAUUUCUUAUCAAAAGAAAAGAAGAAAAGCAGUUUCAAGCCUAACAACCUUCUUACAUACCCUAGCCAGAAUAAGGGAAUUAUGGUCAAGGGAAAAAUGAAAGAGCAUAAGCCAGAAAAUGGAAACUCUCAGAAUAGGAAUGAAGUAUGGGAAGAAAUAAGAGCCUUAGGCCUGUGCUUGACAUGUGUUGAGCUACCAUGGUCAUCAGUGCAAGGUGAAGAUGAACAUAUAAUAGGUGACAGUGAAGAGAAGGAAGAUGAGAGAUACGUUCCUUAGAAUUAGAAGUCUCUCAACUUUCUUCCAGAAAGCCUUUCACCGAGCGAGCAGCUAAGCCUAUGCCCUCAACAAUUGAUUGCUAUACAGAAUUUAGCAUAAANNNNNNNNNNNNNNNNNNNNNNNNNNNNNNNNNNNNNNNNNNNNNNNNNNNNNNNNNNNNNNNNNNNNNNNNNNNNNNNNNNNNNNNNNNNNNNNNNNNNUACAGCACUGACUUCGGUGCCCGCUUACUACCCAUAAGACCUUAGAAAUGACUAGCAGGAGAGCAGUCACGGAAAGAAAGAUUCUGCCUAUUGAGAGAAAGCAAGAUCAGGGAAGUCUUAGUCACUAACACACCAUAGUACUAGUCAAGUCACAAGCAAAGCAUCAAGUCCCAAGCAGUGCCAGGUUGAAGAAAGAAGACUCUAUAAAAAAGCAAGUGAGCUCUGGCACCCAGAUAUUAAGAAGUUAGGAUGCGCCUAACUAAAACUAUUUAGAAAGGCUAGUGAGCAAGUGCCACGGAUCCGGUGUACGGAACGGAUCCAGAGUUAGGAUGCAGCAAGAAAACGGCUGCGCUUCAGCGCAACGGAUCUAGAAGUUAGGAUGCGCGUGGACUAACGCGCAAAGGCUUUCGCGCUAGAAAUAGAAAAAAAGAGCGCUAGAAAGAAAUCAAAUCGUUGCUUUACUUUAAAGUAAAGUUACGAACAAAGGCUUCACUCUUUCCGUUCUGAGGCUAAAAAGGCCAAACGAGCCUACUCACAUCCAUUAGAAUUUUGGAAUUAUAUGACUCUGGGGUCAGUCCAGCAGCUAUAGGUGUACGCAGACAAGAAGAGAGCUUUCCUAUUAAUAAAUACUCUCCUCGCCAAUCCGAUCUCCAGAACUUGACCCUUUUCCCUGCGCGCCUCUUCUUACUUUCACUAAAGAAUGAACAAUCGCGCAGGAGGUAGGAGAUCCAAGUCCAGAAAACAGACGUAAUACAAUACUAAACUAAUGAUGAUCAAAACUUCUAAAUAGAGUCAGAACUCCCCUUCCUGUUUGGUAGAAUUCACACCUAGAAGAAGUAGCCCUGCCGCGGCCUUUUACUCUCUCCACAUUCGGGCUGGAUAAAGAAAAAUGAGAAGGUGUCCAGAAUAUCAACGAAUAAACAGGGAAGGCGUUUUUCAAGCAUCUCAUGCUCCAAAUGAGAAGAUGCAGCGAGGCACCUUCUAGAUAUUCAGUUAUAGUGUUGAUCAUAGACUCAAAUAAGAUAAUGAAAUAUUAAGCAGAAGUGUCUCAUCUCAAGCAUCUGAUUCCGGUGAUCGCAAAUAGCUUGUCAUAGCUAGUUCUUACCUGAAUCGCAGUAGGUUAUUUCUGCUGACAAAGGCCGCUAAGGUUCCACUCGAGAGGAUUCUAUUCCCUCACCGCUGCGCGCCUUGAAGAUCAUAUAAGUGAGUGCUCAAUUGUUAUACUGCUAUGGGAAGAAGCGGAAGAUGAAUCGGAACAGCAGGAAGCCGCUACCUAGAACGGCGCAUACUCUUGACCGCUAACCCUCAAUCAAACGUUGAUAGUUGUGCUUUCCCUACUCGACUUUUGGGUACAUAACCUAAUCAAUCCCUUCCUUCGGUUUCCCUGGACUAUCGAUCUAGAGACGGCACCUUUAGACCAGACCUGGAGACAUCACAAAAAGAGUUCUGAGGAUGACUGCUGGAUAGCGAGCACCUGACCUUGGUUGACUUGCCUAGAACCUGACCAGGCACCGGCACUGAAUUCUACUUGAAAUACCAGGCUCUUCUCUUAGAUAGGAAUCAUAUACUUUAAGCCAUAGGAAUCAUAUACGAAGAACACAUAUGGCCUAGACUCAUGAGCCAAAAUCUAAUCAAUAGUUCGGUACGCGCGCUCAAGACGAACAUCACCACGCUGGGCCCCUUCCCACUUCCCCUCGGAUUUCCUAUCAUUCGGAAUGAAUUCUUUCCAUUAAAGAAAGUAGAAUAAAUAUACGAAAAAAAUACACAACCCUGAAAUCAAUGAUUCAUAAAUACAAUAGCCUAUGAAGGAAGGCGCGGAUCGGCACACCGGAAGCAAGCUGCCGUAAUAGUAGAACCUCAAAAAGAGACCAACAGUUGAGAAUAUGACAUGGAAGUCUCGCAAUCUAUCCCUCCCCGAGAAACGCCCAUUCAUCCCUGGAGUCCGUACUCCGUACUCUUACUAUCCCUAACUCCUCCAUAGCCAUCUAAGAAUAAGUCCAAUCUUACAAGUUGCGUUCAAUGCACCACUUCAGAUAUCUGAGACUCUUAAGACAAUCGUCUAUUUAAGAAACCAGACCAGGAUGAACACCAAAUCAGUGAACCAAAGCGCAUUCUAUUCUAACUCCGGCACAAAAUAGUUCUAAUCAAAAUCGUUUCUGUCCUGGAUGCCUUAUUGUUCAUUGUAAUUUCGGCAGCAAGCGCGAAAUUAAUUGGAAGCAGGCUAUGUACUAGAAAGUAAAAGAGGCACGGAAAGCCUUCACAGAUCGGAGUGCUAACUGGAAAAUACUUUCUCUAUAUACCGGCUACUCAUUUCUCUUUUUAUCGAACGCGGCUAAUAAUAUCAUAAUUAGCAUAACAACCAUUGCAAAGAGUGAUUCAACUUUGUUUUUGCAUUGAGGAGAAAUAGAAAAGAAAGACAACCUCGGUUCGUGCUCGUGCGUAUCAGCUUUCUGGCUGUUCAAAGUGCAUAUUAAAAGGUAAUCUGCUUCUCGUUGACAAAUCGAAAGAGGCCCUCACAUAAUCUGCCAUAAAAGAUUGAAAUUACUUAUUUGAACUACGUUGGCAGGCCUAAAGCUGUUCCACUCAUAUCAUCCUCCAGGUCUAGUAGCUUGGAAGGGUCAGCCUCUUUUAUUCAAGAGGUACACCUCUUUCUAACAGGGCCCUACCUUGAAUGCGCAGAGCAGCAAAGUUCCUUUAGAGACUUAAGCACAGAGCAUUAGGGAAAUCUAGCCAAGGUAUGUAACCAUACUCGAUGUGGCAACUGUAUUCUUCCUCGAAAACUAAAGAUUCUAUUCUGCUUUGGCUCCUCAAAUCUGCCGGCUAUAGAAAAGUGCCCGUUCCUUCGAACUGUAGAUAUGCUCCUGAAGUGACUAGUCUAGUGCCGCUCUUUGAAAUUAAUAGACCAUACAGUUAGAGCAGAUCAUUAGCAUUUAAUGAAUGAGCCCUAGUCAACACGAUCUCAGUAAGAUCAAAGGUCUGCGACAGCCGUACUUGUCUUUUAUUGUCGUGCACAAGCGCCUCUUCUCUCUUAUGGUUGGGUCGGAGCUAGAGUUUCCCCAUUGUUGAUCCUGUUGCAAGUCAAGAUUGCGUUGGGUAGGCCAGAGCGGCAGGGCUUAUCUGUUUUUAUUGCUUUUGUUGUUUGGCAAUGCAGAAACAGAUAAGCGGAUUUCAUCUCAUGAAUCUCCUCUCCAUAGACAAGUCGAUUUCACUUUCACUUUCACAGAGGGCGGAAGGGAGAGGUUGGCUUUUAUUGUGAUGGCCAGUAAAAGAUUCUCCGCGUUCUUUGAUUUGGUGUGACAGAUCAAAGUCAAGUCAACAAGCAUUUGGGUGCUUUUGGCCAAGAGGAGAGCCAAUUGAAUCACUGACUUCAACGCUAGCCCCUUCCCUUAGUCAAGUGACCCAAUAAAGGAGUGAGUGAGAGCAGCUACAAGCUAGGGUAGGCAGGUUGUCCGACAAAUGGCUUUCCAAUCACUGAAAUUCUAUUUAAGAAAGGAAAGAAGAAUGCGGUAGGCAGACACUUUUCAAAGCAGAACCAACGGAGUGGAGUAAAGAAAAGCACGGCGGAUUCGGCCCCAAAAGAUAGACAAAUAGCAAAGAUCACCAACACAAAUUACACAUAAGUAUUUUAGAUUCUAGAAAAUAUGACUUCUUCACUUCACUUCGACGAAAGAUGAGCCAUUAAAAAUACUCAAAACCAACUAGCAUGAAAAUCCAACUAUUAUCUAACUCAUUAACUACUAGGUAAGCUCCCUCAGUAAACAGUCUCAGCUGAUAAGUGUAGUAUCCCUCCAUCAUACGGAGUACUAGGCGGCGGUGCUGAGACAGAUGUUACCAAUUCCCCAACUCCAAGUGCAUGCCAAUUUGAUCUACGUGGCGCCGACCAACGCAGAACCAUACUUGGCUUGGCCCUUUGCAAUAUGUAUAUUCCCCGAGGAAGGAAGGCUUGACAUGAAUACAGCUUAGUAACUAUCCAUUCUUUCACACUCCGACACACGCCAUAAUCUUUCAUCAGAAGGAGCUUCAUCAUCAUAUCAUAUGGUAAGGGGCAUACGGCGAAUUUGUAGAGGACGGGUAACGCCGCAGUUCUGUGUUGAAAAUUUGCAUAUCUCCAUGAUCAGGAUCUCUGGCCAAAGGAUAAUCACAAUCACCAGCUGAUAAGCAAGCAAAUAGAGUUGUCUCUUCGAGUCAGCAUCCUAGUCUCCAUUUCAGAUUGUAACAGAACUGGUUGGUCUCUGGCACUUGUGAGUGGAGGUCCUCCGAAACACGAAUAGACUGGCACUAGGCGGAAGAGAAGAGAAACAGAAGCGGAGACUACCUAAUCUAAUAAGUGUCUGGUUUCAUCGAAUAGGGAUGCUCGCUUAAGUCUACUUGUACUUGAAUUCCGCAUAGCCCGUUCUGCUAAGAAAUAUGAGCUGUUGUUCUUAUAUGAGCUGUUGCUCUUAAAAUCAUUCCUUAUGAGCUAUGGCAAGUGAGCUGAGUCUAGUUUACUCGCCUUCUCCAUCACUAGAUGAGUGGGCAGUGCCGGACUCGAGGAUGGGAUUCCCGACCGAAUUGGAAGCAUAAAAGCGCCAUUCCGAGAUUGAUAGAUAAUCAAUCUAAAUAGGAAUUGAAUAGGAGAAGAGCUAAUUGGGAUUGGAGAAGAAGUUCCUUUGGAAUGGAAUUGUAGAACAAGUAGACAGGAUUUCUACGAAACAGGAUAAUCCGUUGAUUGGGAACAAGUCCGGAUUGGAUUCGUGCGUCACGGAUCAGUAGCAGCAAGUAGAUCAAAGCUAGUUCGGUAACAUAAGCUCGGGAACAGGACUAUUUGCCGGGGGAUGAUCACUUGGUUCCGUAGGUUUCUUGAUCUCAUAUCUAUGGGCCAGUCCAAUCCGAAAGGAGGAAUGAUGGUAGAUACCCACUAGAUAGCCGUCUUCCACUGCCUGGAGUCCAAUCUCUCUCUAUUGGCCAGAGGUGUCCAACACCUUCAGUACCAUUCUUUGGACGAGAGAAGCCUUAUCCUUCAUACUUUCUGGACGUGUUGGUUUCCAAUCUGACAUUUUAUCAGAAGGUUCUGCCAAUUUAUCCCUACUGUAAUUUUGUGUCGCUUGCUCUUGUUGCUGCUGACCUCUAUUUUCUUUCCCUCGAUUAAGAGGCUAAUGAACUGGGUGCUCGAAAGUUUGUUGUGUCCGACGUCGCUCGGUUGUAUACCGUACGUUCGUGCUCUGGAGUUCAUGCCUACAGGGAGUGUUCAGCAUCCGCGAAUCGAGUCACUGAAGUUACAACAAGAAAUUGAAGAGGAUGGUCGAAAAGAUGAACCAGGAGAUGGGUCCAGAGAGCAAAUUUGUGUACGUAAAUACGAAGGAUUUGGCAGCGCCGAAGCAGAGGAAGGAACCCGAAGCAAUGGAAAUAACGACGACCUAGGAGGUAGUAGUAGUACGAAGCCGUAAGGUGGUUUGAUUUAGAAGUUGAGUGAGGAGGCUUCGACCGUCGCCACAAAGAUUCUUAUGAGGCAUGCUUCUGACGGGCUGCCACGCGGGAGUACUGGAAGACUUUUCAAAGGGCUAAGUAUAGGCACCGGGAAAGAGUGGGGGUUGAAGUGGAGUUGCCACGACGAUUUCUGGUAAGUCGAUUGCGGAGGAACUGAGAGGGAGAAGGCCGGGCUUCCCAGAUUGUGCAAAUUAGCCAUUCCACUUCGGGUCGUGUGCACAUAGCAUGGAGGCGAUGCCUUAUGCCGUGGCGUCAAUUCUAGCUUCUGAUGCGGGGCUUCUAGCUGUUCGCUUUUAAAUUGGCACUUUGAGUUGAGGGCGGAGCGUGAAUUAAGUAAAGGCUUAUUUGUUCCUGAAUGUUUCAUUUUUAUUAACCAAAACCAACAUUUAUCAUACUUGCAACUAAGACCUCGAAUGUUUGGAAAAGACGAUGUCGACAAAGCGGAGUUUUUUAAUGAAAUAAAAGACAUUUGCAAGUGCUGGCUUACACCCGGGGAAUUGUCAGUAAAUAAGGCGCCAGGAGGUUGUGCAAGCACUAGAAAUGACGAGCAUGGAGAGGUCAAUCUUGGUAGUCAGGUCUGGUAGAGCAAUCUCAAAUUAUCAUAUAGAAAUGUUAUGAUUUCGGUAUUGAUCAAAAGGUGCUAGGACCUUAGGGGAUACAUUAGUGCCAUGUUCUAUUGCGGAACGGUCGUAUCCUGGUAACCUAGCCCCCGUAAGAGCUCUACCUAAUCGUCGACAUAAUGGGUAGAAGGCAGGCUGUGCUUAUUUCUCGGCAAAUAGCUGAGUCGACACCUCGAGGUGCCAACUCAGCUCUUCGUAGAUAAAAACAAGUGUUCAGUGGAUCAAACCCUGUAUUAAUGGUUCUGGCGGGCUGCUGGCGUGGGACUUCUUUCGCUAGAAACACUACAACAAUAGAAGCACCCUUCUAGAGAUAAGAAUAGCAAAUGUUUUGAGGCACUGAUGGAAGCAUGCCAAGGUGAAGUUGACGAUCUCUUUAGCGUUUAUCCUUCUCUUUAUCUUGCCCUAUGUGCUCAUGCUGUGAGUGCCGCAGGAUGGUUUAGUUCUGAUCGAGUGCUUGACCCCUUGAGGAGGGCAUAUUCUUCAGCAUCUCUCUUGUCGGAUCGUAUCCCCGUGACCACGUCGUUAAAGAGACAGUUUUCUUUGGCCUGGCCUGGCCCACCGACGUCGUUGGUGACACUCUUCUGAGCCCCUAGAUUCACCGAAGGAUGAGAUCUUGCCUAUGCUGUAGUGUAGGAUGAACAGGAAAGUUCUCCUCCAUUGAGACCCGGAAAACUACAACUUUUUCUUAUUGAAAAAAAGAGCUUUGUUAUCUUACUUGCUGGCUAGUAAACGCUACCCCUACCCUUGAAAACUUGUUUACUUUUGAGGGCCGGAGUUUACUUAAAUUCAAGAGGACUUAAAGGAUUUCUAACUUCACUGUCCUGCUUACUCAUUGGAUGAAUUGACAGAGUCUCUUGCCCUUUACCUUGGAUAUACACAAGAUUGCUCAUUCGCUGUAACCACUAGUUCUAGAACUGAAUAGGAAAAGCUAUAUGGCACUCAAACAGAACAGAAUGGAUAGCAACUGAAACUCCAAGAGGUAGUAUACUAAUAUACUUUUUUCCCUAAAAACCUAAGAUGCCUAUUGGUCUAAGCUUUAUAUCUAUCCUAUCGCUCUCUUGCUUAAAUUCACUUCCUUCCUUAACUCAGAUCUAAAUGGCUUCCUUUGGAUCGACAUGCGUAGAAAGAGGUAAAAGCACGGGCAUGGAAAAGGGAUUAUAUGGCGUGCUGGGCUGGAUGAAAGAAGCAACUACGCCUACAAUGAGAAUAGCGGGACUCCCACUAGCUGACAGAGAACUCCCAGCCAAAAUGAAACUGGACUUCCAGCAAUAGCAGCAAUGUCACUAGAACCUUUCAUACUGGAGAAUAACUAGAAGUUUAUGGGGAAUACAACCCUUAAGGUUUGGCUAUGAUUCUAAAUCAACCAUGCUUACUAAACAACUCAAUCAUGCACUCGUAAUGCUCCAUUCGAGGCGUAAUACCAGAAUCUUCACUCAUCGAGAACAAGUAUCUUUGACCUAGAUUAACAUAUCCUUCACAAAUACAAGCUAGCAAGGCAUCUGGAUAACUUACAAGAUAAGUUUAUGCGUGCCACCUAUCAUUUGAUACUGCCUGAUCAAGUCUUUGGAUCAAGUAUGUUUAGAAAAAGGAAUAUGCACAGGAAAUCAAGCAAGAGGAUGCGGACAGUAACGAUCGCGUAAAGGAGGGCCCGCUUACUAAUACGGAGAGGGUUCCGCAUGAAAAAGACAAUCCUAAACUUCUUCGUUUCGUUGGUUUUUCCAAGGUCUUUUAAAUUAUCUUUUUUUUGAACAUGAACGGAAGUAGCGUAGGACACCCAAUCCUCGGUCAAACCUCUACUUCAAUGAACCACGUCGCGUUCUUUAUCUUUCUCACUCGUCGUUUCGUUGGAAAAACUCACGCCCAAUAUCAUAUUGACUCUCUCUCGUCCAAUAAGAGUUUCUGAGAGUUACUUUAUUCAAAUUCUCUCCUUUCCAAAGCUCCACAAGGCUGACAAAAAGAGUAAUAGGACAACAAGCAAUCUUGCUUUCAUUUAUUUUGAGUUCUUUCUUUGUUGAGAUGGAAAUCGACGUUCUUUUGAAAAGGGCUAGGUAG
rnacentral:lncRNA from 1 species